rnacentral:lncRNA from 1 species
AGCAAUAACAUUCUCAUCAUCAUGAAAUCAUAUGAACUGUAUAACAUAAUACUUAUCACGCAUUUUGCAUUUCAAUCAUUACACAACAUAUUUUUCCUCAUUUAUCAGCCUACUAGUAUCCAUGGGGAUCCAUAGGGGUCCCGCUACCUGUGAACCCUUAACACUUGUAAUCAAAUUCCAGGGCCGUCCCCAUAUCCCGUCCGGUAUGGGCGCAAAAACUAUAAACCUCAAUACCCCGUCCGGUAUGAG